rnacentral:rRNA from 1 species
CUACGGGUGGCAGCAGUGAGGAAUAUUGCGCAAUGGGGGGAACCCUGAUGCAGCAACGCCGCGUGGAGGAUGACGCAUUUCGGUGUGUAAACUCCUUUUAUAUGUCAAGAAAAUGACGGUAGCAUAUGAAUAAGCACCGGCUAACUCCGUGCCAGCAGCCGCGGUAAUACGGAGGGUGCAAGCGUUACUCGGAAUCACUGGGCGUAAAGGACGCGUAGGCGGGUUGGAAAGUCAGGUGUGAAAUCCUACAGCUUAACUGUAGAACUGCACUUGAAACUUCUAAUCUAGAGUAUGGGAGGGGGAGAUGGAAUUAGUGGUGGAGGGGUAAAAUCCGUAGAUAUCACUAGGAAUACCUAAAGCGAAGGCGAUCUCCUGGAACAUUACUGACGUUAAGGCGUGAAAGCGUGGGGGGCAAACAGGAUUAGAUACCCGGGUAGUC